rnacentral:rRNA from 1 species
GACAGAGGGGGCAAGCGUUGCUCGGAAUCACUGGGCGUAAAGGGCGCGUAGGCGGGAUGGCAAGUCAGUCGUGAAAUCUCUCGGCUCAACCGAGAAACGUCGGCUGAUACUGCCGUUCUUGAGGGAUGCAGAGGAGACUGGAAUUCCCGGUGUAGCGGUGAAAUGUGUAGAGAUCGGGAGGAACACCGGUGGCGAAGGCGGGUCUCUGGGCAUUUCCUGACGCUGAGACGCGAAAGCGUGGGUAGCAAACAGG